rnacentral:rRNA from 1 species
AUUGAACGCUGGCGGCAUGCCUUACACAUGCAAGUCGAACGGUAACAGGUCUUCGGAUGCUGACGAGUGGCGAACGGGUGAGUAAUACAUCGGAACGUGCCCAGACGUGGGGGAUAACGAGGUGAAAGCUUUGCUAAUACCGCAUACGAUCUAAGGAUGAAAGCAGGGGACCGCAAGGCCUUGUGCGUUUGGAGCGGCCGAUGGCAGAUUAGGUAGUUGGUGGGAUAAAAGCUUACCAAGCCGACGAUCUGUAGCUGGUCUGAGAGGACGACCAGCCACACUGGGACUGAGACACGGCCCAGACUCCUACGGGAGGCAGCAGUGGGGAAUUUUGGACAAUGGGCGAAAGCCUGAUCCAGCAAUGCCGCGUGCAGGAUGAAGGCCUUCGGGUUGUAAACUGCUUUUGUACGGAACGAAAAGGCUCUGGCUAAUACCUGGGGCACAUGACGGUACCGUAAGAAUAAGCACCGGCUAACUACGUG